rnacentral:rRNA from 1 species
UACGUAGGGGGCGAGCGUUGUCCGGAUUUACUGGGCGUAAAGCGCGUGUAGGCGGCGCCUUAAGUCAGGUGUGAAAGCCCGGGGCUCAACCCCGGAGUGCCGCCUGAAACUGGGGUGCUUGAGGACGGAAGAGGGGAGUGGAAUUCCUGGGUGUAGCGGUGAAAUGCGUAGAUAUCUGGAGGAAUACCGGUGGCGAAGGCGGCAUCCUGGACCGACAUUGACGCUGAACGGCGAAAGCUAGGGGAGCAAACGGG